rnacentral:rRNA from 1 species
UACGUAAGGGGCAAGCGUUACCCGGAAUUAUUGGGCGUAAAGCGUCCGCAGGCGGAAGUAUAAGUCAGUUAUUAAAUACCGGUGCUCAACAUCGGUGCUGUAACCGAAACUGUAUUUCUAGAGGAUGGGAGAGGUAUAUGGAAUUGUGCAAGUAGGGGUAAAAUCCGUAGAUAUGCACAGGAACACCAAAAGCGAAGGCAGUAUACUGGACCAUUCCUGACGCUCAGGGACGAAAGCGUGGGUAGCAAAAGGG